GCAUAUCAAUAAGCGGAGGAAAAGAAACCAACAGGGAUUGCCCCAGUAACGGCGAGUGAAGCGGCAACAGCUCAAAUUUGAAAUCUGGCCUCGGCCCGAGUUGUAAUUUGCAGAGGAAGCUUCUGGUGCGGCGCCGUCCGAGUCUCCUGGAACGGAGCGCCAUAGAGGGUGAGAGCCCCGUAUGGACGGAUGCCAAACCUGUGUGAAGCUCCUUCGACGAGUCGAGUUGUUUGGGAAU
rnacentral:rRNA from 1 species